rnacentral:lncRNA from 1 species
CUGCCGGACUUUCCGGGGGCCGUAAGUGAAGUGUCGCAAAGCAUAAAGAAGGCGGGAGUGCCAACUCCAAGCCCUGAGCGAUCCCAGGUUGAGGAGGCCGCUAUGGCGAGCCUUCUGCGUGUCGAAAUUCGUGAGAAAUUCCAGGCGGCUCUGGCCCUGUCGCGGGUGGAACUGCAUAAAAACCCAGAGAAAGAGCCGUACAAGUCGAAAUACAGCGCCCGAGCACUGCUGGAAGAGGUCAAGGCGCUGCUCGGCCCAGCGCCUGAGGACGAGGAUGAGCGGCCUCAGGCCGAGGACGGCUUGGGCGAGGGUGACCACGCCCUGGGGCUGCCCACGGAGGUCGUGGAGGCCGAGGGGCCCGUCGCCCAGCGGGCGGUGAGGCUGGCGGUGAUCGAGUUCCACCUGGGGGUGAACCACAUCGACACGGAGGAGCUGUCGGCGGGGGAGGAGCACCUGGUGAAGUGCCUGAGACUGCUGCGCAGGUACCGGCUCUCGCACGACUGCAUCUCGCUGUACAUCCAGGCGCAGGUGAGAGCAAGCGAGCGAGCGAUCCGGGCCGCCGCUGUGCUGCCAGCACUGGCCCCGGGGGGACCGCAAAAGGCGAGGGGGGGGAGGAGCUCCCGCGGUGGCCAUGACCGAGGGUGGGCAGGGGUCUUUAGACGCCGUUUCCUCCCAUGUUUUUGAAGCUUUGGGAUGAGUCCCAGACAGGAGCUUUUUGGCCUUCAAGAAACUCUUAAGGAUUUAUUGCGUUGUAUCUAGAUCUCCCACCGUCGGCAUCCAAACUCCUCUCCACCCCCAUCGUCCACUCAUCAUUUAUUUGCUACUUAAUUGUGGGCAAAGCAUCGGUUUCUAAAACCCCUUCAUUGUAAUGCGUUUUUUUUUUUAAACUCUCGAGUUUUUGUUUUCGUUCAACUAAGAAAAAAUCCGAAUUAACUUAUUAUUUACUUAUUUGUUUAUUUUAAAUUGUGCUACUAGGGAUUGAAUCCAGGAGCUUUUAUCACUGAGCUACAUCCCCAGUCCGCCUUCCCUUUUUUAUUUUAUUUUAUUUUUUUAUUUUGAGGCAAGAACUCACCAAGUUGUUGAGACUUAACUUUGAACUUGCUAUUCUCCUGCCUCAGCCUCCCACGUCGCUAGGAUUACAGGUGUAUACACCACCAUUCCUGGCUCCAAAGUAAUUUAAAUCUUAAACUCUUCUCGCCAGGCACCGUGCACACACCUGUAAUCCCAGCGACUCUGGCGGCUGUUGCAGGAGAAUCCCAAAUUCAAAGCCAGCCUCUGUAAUUUAGGCCCUAAGUAACUUAGACCUUAUCUCAAAAUAAAAAAUAAAAAAGGCUGGGGGUGUGGUUCAGUGGUUAAGCACCUCUGGGUUCACCCCCUAUACCAAAAUCAUCAUCAUCAUCAUCAUAUUUGUUCUAAUUAGUUAUGCAUGAUAGUAGAUACAGUUAUACAUGAUUCAUUGUACACAAAUGGAGCAAACUCUUCCUUUCUCUGGUUUUACAUGAUGUAGAGUCACACCACAUGUACAGUCAUACAUGUACCUAGGGUAAUGAUUCCAUCUCAUUCCACCAUUGUUCCUGCCCCCAUGCCCCCUUCCCUUCCCUCUCUCCCCUUUGCCAAAUCAGAGUUUCUCCAUUCUCCCUACUCCGCCUCCCCAUUAUGGAUCAGCAUCCACUUAUCAAAGAGAACAUUCAGCUUUUAGUUUUUUGGGAUUGGCUUACUUUGCUUAGCAUUAUAUUCUCCAUUUCCAUCCAUUUACCUGCAAAUGCCAUAAUUUUAUUAAAAAUAUGGAAUGCUUCACGAAUUCCAUGUUAAUUAACAUGCGCAGUGGCCAUUUUAAUCUUCUCUGUAUCAUUUCAAUAUGUACUGCUGAAGGGAGCCCCAGAGUUCUGCUCUUAAUUCAAAACAAGGGCUGGGGAUGUGGCUCAAGCGGUAACGCGCUCGCCUGGCAUGCGUGCGGCCCGGGUUCAAUCCUCAGCACCACAUACAAACAAAGAUGUUGUGUCUGCCAAUAACUAAAAAAUAAAUACUAAAAAAAAAUCUCUCUCUAAAAAAAAAAAAAAAUUCAAAACAAAAUGUCAGCCGGUAGUGGUGGUUUGAUGCCUAUAAUCCCAGCUGCUCUGGAGACUGAGGCAGGAAGAGUUCAAAGCCAGCCUCAGCAAAAGCGAGGCCCUAAGCAACUCAGUGAGACCCUGUCUCUAAGUAAAAUACAAAAUAGGGCUGGAUAAUGUGACUCAGCAGUCAAGUGCCCCUGAGUUCAAUCCCAGGUACCCCACCGCCGUCGGUUUCUCCUUACCAUGUUCUCCAAGGAAUUCCUACUCAUUCUUCAGAAUAGAUCUCAAGAAUCACCUCAUUUUAAUAACUUUCUAUGGACCAUUUUUGUCCAAACUUAUCUAUAUUUCAUUUAUUUGGUACAUGGUUUAUUAAGAAAUAAAUCUGAGCCAGGCAUGGUGGCUUGUAUCUAUCUGUAAUCCCAGUGACUCAGGAGGCUGAGGCAGGAAUAUUGCAAGUUCAAAACCAGCCUCAGCAGUUUAAUGAGGCCCUAAGCAACUUUUGAGACUCUGUCUCAAAAUAAAUAAAACAAAAAUAAAAAGGGCUGGGGGAAGAUUCAGUGGUUAAACAUCCCUGGAUUCAAUUCCUAGUACUAUCCACCCACCCCGAUAAAAAGAAGUAACUGCAGAGUGCUGUGAUGCAGGCCUGUAAUCCCAAAGACUUGGGAAGCUGAGGCAGGAGUAUCACAGCAAGUUUGAGGCCAGCUUCAGCAAUUAGCAAGAUAAAUUAAAAAGGAUUGGUAUGUUGCUUAGUAGGAAAGCAUUCUUGGGUUCAAUCCAAUCUCCAGUACCAAAAAAAAAAAAAAAAAAAGUAAAUCAAACAGUUUUUACAUUCUGCAUUGGGAGCAUAACACUUUUAAAAUAUGAAUAUGGGGCUGAGGAUGUAGUUUAAUUCGGUGGCAGAGCCAGUCUCUAGCGUGCACUAAGCCCUGGGUUCUGUCCCAAGCAUCACCAAAAUAAGUAAAAAUGAAAUAAAAUAUAAAUAUGUUCAAACUAGUCACACAUGCAAGGUAUCAGGUACUUUGCAUAGACUUGCAAACCAUUCAUCCAGAAGUUAUAGUUCAUAAUAUUUGUGAUCCAGGAAACAUUUACCACAAUUGAUCAUAUGGUAAGUAGGAUUUAAGAAAAAUAUCAAAGUUUAGAAAGAAGUUGUAUAAGUUAUAUUUUAUUAUGGUCCAGUAAAAUUAAAAGCCAUAUGAUAACAAGGAAUCCACUCUUUUUGUUCACUAUUUAUAGCCCAGUACAUGACAUAUAGUAGGCAUAUUCUAAAUAAUAUUUGAAUGGAUGAAUGAUCUAAUGAAAUUCACAAAACAUUGAAUUGAAACAAAACCUGUUAUUUGAAUUUUCCUCUAACCAUAUAACCUAAAACCUUAAUAAACAUUUAAAACUUGCUUCAAUAUUUCAAACAAAGAAUUAGAAUUAGGAAUCUUCCCUAAUGUAAUAUUAUUAAUAUAUAUUGUAUUUUCUUUUACUUUUUUAUUUAUUAGCAGUACUGGGGGUUGAACCCAGAACUUCACACAUGCUAGGUACGAGCUCUACCACAUCCCAUCUCUUUUUAUUUUUAUUCUGAAACAGAAAUUCAUUAAGUUACCCCUACUGGCCUUGAACUUGGGAUUUUCCUGCCUCAACUUUCCAAGGAGCUGGUAUUCAGGAAUAGCUGAUAUAAGAGGUGUGCAGCACCUAUUUUUCUCUAUUAAAAUUCAUAGGCUCUUUCUUCUCUUCAUGGAUUCCUUGGAGGUCCAUAGGCCCAAGGUUAAGAAUUUCUGCAUUAGAAACUAUUUCUUUAUCCUGUUCCCUCCCCUAGAGAAGUAACAAAGAUGGAAGAAACAGCCUCAGAAAUACCUUGUGUCUAAAGGACUGUCCCAGGGGAUGGGAGUCAGUCUAACCUAAUUGUCUAAAGAGAGCUUUGUCUUCAGUAUUGAGUUCUCAGCAUGUAAACAGUCCAGGUUUGCUUUGUAGAGCCUAAUUAAAAAGGAAUCAUGUAGCAGGAAAUGAAGAAAAUGAUUUUAAAAUGUUAUUUAGGAUAGAAUCCCAAAUCCAGUCAACUCCUUAGCUUUUAUGGUAGGAAAAGUAAGUUGGUGAAAUUAAAAUUAAAAAGCCAUCAAUAUUGAUAGGGUACAAUUACAGAACAUAAAUUUUUUUUAUUUUUGUUCAAAACAUUACAUAGCUCUUGAUAUAUCAUAUUUCAUACAGAACAUAAUUUUUUAAGAACUCUCUGGAAACACAAAAUGCUGUAUUGUUUGAAAUGGUAAACGUUAGAAAUCUGACUUAACUGGUGAGAAAAAGCAUAUAGCAUCUUCAGAAUUUUUUUUUUCCUAUACUGGGAAUUAGAGACAGGGUCUCACUGAGUUGCUUAGCACCUCACUUUUGCUGAGGCUGGCUUUGAACUCAUGAUCCUCCUGCCUCAGCCUCCCACUGGGAUUACAGGUAUAUUUUUUAUUUUGAGGCAGGGUCUCACUAAGUUUCUGAGGCUGUCCUUGAACUUGUAAUUCUCCUGGCUCAGCUUACUGAGUAGUUGGGAUUACAGAUGUGUACCAUUGUGCCCAGCAAGAAUGUUUAAAUAAAUAAAAUAUUUAAGUGAUCUCUGGAGGAAGUUGUAGUAUUUUGAGGUUUUAUUUAUUUAUUUUUUGUUUGUUUGGUUUUUUUUCCUUUGAAAGUAUUGUAUAUUUCUGGUUCAUCUUUGUUUUUGCAGUACUUGGGGAUUGAAUUCAGGGCCUCACUUGUGCUAGGCGAGUGUUCUACCACUGAGCUGCACCACAGCCCUCAGGUUCAUCUUGGUCUCUGUUAUCUUAGGGAUCUUGGCACAGCUUAGCUAAGUAUUCCUCAUCACAUUGUUGACCUGUCAGGGCCCACUUGAAGACGCUUACUAGGGGAAGGGUCUACUUCCAACUUAUUUAUAUGGUUGUUGGCAGAAUUUAAUUCCUCACUGGCUUUUUGUCUGAAUGCUUUAGACUGUGACCUUUCUCAAUCCUUUCCAUAUGCAUUUCUUUUUCUUUUUUUGGUGGUACUAGAGAUUGAACCCGGACACUGUACACUGAGCUACAUCCCCAAAUGUUGGGAUUUUUUUAUGAGUAUUUUUUCUAUUAACAACUUUAUUUUAUAACUUUAUUUAUAUUUUUAUAACUUUAUUUUUAUUUACUUUUUUAUGUGGUGCUGAGGAUCAAACCUAGUACCUCCCCUGUGCUAGGGAAGCACUCUACCACUGAGCUACAGCCCCAGCCCCUCUUGUUUUUUUUUUUUUUAAGUGAGGGUCUCAUUAAGUUGCCAUGGCUGGCCUUGCACAUGUAAUCCUCUUCUUCCACCUCCCAAGUAGCUUGGCCUUCCUGAAAGAGAGCAAGCAAGAAAAAUACAAGAUGGAUGUCACAAUACUUCAAAGCCUAGUCUUAGAAGUAACUUUCCAUCAUUUCUGUUAUAUUCUAUUCAUUAGAAAUAAGUCACUAAAUCCAGUCCAUACUCAAGGAGAAAAGAUUACACAAGGGCAUGAAUAUGAAUACUAGGAGGCAGUGGUCAUUGGGUGUCCAUCUUAAACAGUUGUCCUCUACACUACAUAUGGUUGAUAGUAUUAUGAGUAACUAAUCCAUUGUUAAUCAAACUCCAGUACUAUUUGAUUGGUUAAUUUUGAAACUAUGUAAUUACUUUAAUUGGAAGUCUCAUCAUUGUUUUUCUUUUCUGUAUUUUCCAGAAUAACUUGGGUAUUUUGUGGUCUGAAAGAGAAGAAAUUGAAACUGCACAGGCUUACCUGGAAUCAUCAGAAGCACUAUAUAAUCAAUAUAUGAAAGAGGUAUGUUACAUGUCAUAGUUUUUUAAGUUUUAAUUGAAACUGGCUAAAAAUUGAUUUAAGAAUUCCUCAUUCAAAAUAUUGGUAUGACUUUUUAGUGUAUCCAGGAACUUCUUUAUAAAGCUGUCUGAGAAUCCAUCUAAUAGCUGAAACAUGAUAGUCUUGGGGAUUUAAAAACUAAUCCUUGGGGGGCUGGGGAUGUGGCUCAAGCGGUAGCGCGCUCGCCUGGCAUGCAUGCAGCCCGGGUUCGAUCCUCAGCACCACAUACAAACAAAGAUGAUGUGUCUGCCGGAAACUAAAAAAUAAAUAUUGAAAAACUCUCUCUCUCUCUCCAAAGAUGAUGUGUCCGCCGAAAACUAAAAAAUAAAUAUUAAAAAAAAAAAACAAAAAAACUAAUCCUUGGUUAGUCGGGCUUGGUGCAUGCAUACGUCUAGCUACUCGAGUUAGGAAGUUGGCAAAUUCAAGGUCAGCAUCAGCAAAUUAGGGAGACACCGUUUCAAAAUAAAAAAUAAGAAAGGGCUGGGGAUUUAGCUCAGUGGUAAAAUGCCCCUGGGUUCAAUCCUAAGUACCUCAAAAUCAAUCAAUCAAGAAUAUAAUGGCAAAAUACAAUUAUACAGGAAAUAUUCUAGUAUUAUCCUAAAUACUAUUUGCAUAUUUUUGUAUUUUUAAUCUAAAAAUUCUAUUUGUUUCCACUGCAAAUAGCUGUGCUUAAAGGAAAGCAAACAAGAACUACUUGAGCCAAAUAUCUGAAAUUUUUGAGGUUCUGGUUCUUAGUGGUUAGCAUGCAUAGAAUCACCUGGAGGGCUUAUUAAAACUCAGCAAGUUGAGCUGCCAGUAGUUUGGGGAUGGGGCCUGAGAAUUUUCUUUUUCCAGUGAUUGACCCCAGGGCCAUGUGCUCUACCACUGAGCUGUAUCCCCAACCUAAGAAUUUGCAUUUUUAAUCAGGUCCUCUAUGAUGCUUAUACUGCUAAUCUAAGACCUGUACUUUGAGGCACUGCUUCAGAACGGUAUUUUUUCCAAUAUUUCCUUUUUUUUUUUAAUCUAUGAAAUCUUUCUGAAAUGCAGUAUAUGAAAACUAUUUAAUAAGCAGUUCAAAGUUGGGAAUGGUGAUGUGUGUCUGUAAUUGUAGCUAACGUGGGAGGCUGAGGCAAGAUUCCUUAAGCCCAGGAGUUCAAGACUAGCUUGGGAAAGUUAAUAAGAUCCCCAGCUAAAAAAAAAAAAAAAAAUGCGGGUUAGAAAGGACCCUUCACCCAAUCUACUGCAGAUUCCUUCCUUCCUCCCCAUCAUGGUAGUACAAAUAGAUGCUGUAGGACUUCUAGGGCUCUGGGGAACUUAGGUUGAAAACUCACACUUGAGGAGCUCACAGCCCUGCAAAGGUGAGAAACCACUGUUUCCUAAAUAACCUUUUUUUUUUUUUUUUUUUUAAAGAGAGAGAGAAUUUUUAAUAUUUAUUUUUUAGUUUUCGGCGGACACAACAUCUUUGCUGUAUGUGGUGCUGAGGAUUGAACCCGGGCCGCACGCAUGCCAGGCGAGCGCGCUACCGCUUGAGCCACAUCCCCAGCCCCUAAAUAAACUUUUUAAUAUAAGAAAUUACUAGGCACAAUAUUUUCUGUUGCUUGCUCUUUGUUAGUGAUGUGCUUUAAAAAUCCAUUAAUGGGUUGGAGUUGUGGCUCAGUGGUAGAGUGCUUGCCUGGCAUGUAUGAGGCCCUGGAUUCGAUCCUCAGCACUGCUUAUAAAUAAAUAAAAUAAAAGAUCCAUUGACAAUUAAAAUAAAAAUUUUUAAUAAUCCAUUAGUAAAAAGUUCUUCUUUCAUUGAAGAAUGUACCACAUAAAAGACUAAACAUGCUUAGGAUGUAAUUCAGUGGUCGUUUGCUUGCCUAGCAUGUACAAGGCCCUGGGUUCAAACCCCAACAGGUAAAAAAAAAUUUUACAAAAAUGUGUUUGCUAAAUUCAGCCAUCAGAAUGCUUGACUACCGAAGGGUAUAAAAGUUUCUGAUAACCUAAGUUAGUAAAAUUAUAGUUAGUAGACACAUAGCUUCCAUUUAAGAACUUAUGUGUGUGUGAGCCAGAUGUGGUGGCAUACACCUAUAAUCCCAGUGGUUGAGGAGACUGAGGCAGGAGGCUUGCAAGUUCAAAGCCAGCCUCAGCAACUUAGUGAGGCCAUAAGCAACUUAGUGAGAAUCUGUCUCAAAAUUAAAAAUAAAAAGGGCUAGGGUUGUGGCUCAGCGGUAAAGCACCUCUGGGUUCAAUCUCUGGUACCAAAACAAAAAACAAAAACAUGUAUGUGCAUGCGUGUGCACUACUGGGAAUUGAGCCCAGGGUUGCUCUACCACUGAACUAUAUUCCCAGUUUUUCUAUUUUUUAUUGUGAGGCUGUUCCUCAAACUUGGGACUCUUCUGCCUAGGCUCUCAAGUCAUUAGGAUUACAGGGAUAUGCCAACAUUCCUAAGAAAUUUUAUGUACAGAAAUUCUAAUAGAUUAAUUAUAGUCUUCAAUAAACUUUUGCCUUCUAAAAGUUGGUAGUCUCUUUUUUUAAUUAAAAUACAUUUUAGUUAAUUUUGUUUUUAGGUUAUUUGUGACAUUCCUUUAAAUAACCAGAGAUAUUUUGAGGUUUCUCACAGUUAUGAAUCACUACCUUUUCAAGUUCACUACAUGGUUGCUACAUUCAUUGUAAAUUUUUAUUUUCAUUUUAUUUGACUCAUCAUAAACCUUUGGCAGAGUUGACCAGUCUUCCUUGAAACACUUUUUGUACUUGGUUUCUAGGAGCAUACUGCCCAUUUUUCUUUUAGAUCUUUAAUGUUUCUUCAUUUCCUCAACCUGUGAACACUAGAGUACCCAAAGUUCAGUCCUUGGACCUCCCUCCUUUUUCCAUGUACAUUCAUUACAAAUAUUUUCUGCUGAUGAAUCAUAAAUUUUAUUUAUCUCCAGCUUUACCUAUCUGAUUUUAUACUCUGCCAAUAAGCUUUCUUUAUUAUAUAUUUUUUUUCUCUUUGGGAAUGGGGUCUUGCUGUGUUGCCCAGGCUGACCUAGAAUUCAAAUUCGAGAUCCUCCUGUUUCCCAAGUAACUGGGAUUACAGGUGUACACCGACAUACCAAGCUGACAUUUGCAUUUUUUGUGGAGUAGGCAUUUCUAAGACUACUGUUUGAAAGUAGUUUCUUGAUAAUCUGAUUCCCACCACUACCCAUUUUCUCUUGCUGCAGACACCAAUUUCUUUCAGUUGUUGAAACCUAAAAACUUUGGAGACUUCUCUUUUUCUCAUGCUCUAUCCAAUUGAUCAUCAAAUCUUACUGAUUCACUUUUUUCUUUCUUUCAUUGUUUUUUUUUUUUUGGGGGGGGGGUACUGGGAAUUGAACCCAGAACAACUGGGUUACCGCUGAGCUACAUCUGCAGCCCUUUUUAUUUAUUUUUUAAAUAUUGAGACAGGGUCUCACUAAGUUGCUUAGGGCCUCACUAAAUUGCUGAGGCUGUCAUUGAACUUGCUAUCCUCCUGCCUCAGCUUACUGAGUCACUGGAAUUACAGGUGUGCACCACUGUGCCUGGGUUCCUUUCAUGCUUUAAUCUCACAUUCUCAUACCUGAAAUUGUGUAUAAUAUAAGGAUACCAAGCAUCUAUAGUAUUUUGUUUAAAACUAGUUAAAGUCCCAGUACCAAAAAUGCAAAAACAAACAAAAAAAAAUAAGAAUAGUGUAAAUGUGGAAGCAUAACACAUAGCAAAACUCUAUCUUUGGUUAUACUCCUAUUUGAGUUGAAAAGUGACUGAGUUGACUGUUCGUGUUACAUAUGAAGUGUGAGCCAUAUUGGUGAAGUAGACACAUAAAGUAACACAUUGAUUAAUUCCCUUCAUCUGGAUGGGGAGGAGCUUAUUAAAUAGCCCUCAGAACUGUUGAGGGGAUUUCUGAACUACUUAUCAGUUGUAUCUGCCUUGGCCUUGCUUCCUAUCUUGGUUUUUAUUUUCCUGUGUGAUGCUUCUAGUGUUUAUGUCAAAGUUUAAGAUCUCAUAUUUUAUGGAAAGCAUUGCAGCUUUGGAGUUUAAUGAAUUCAGUUAAAAGCAAGGAUGGGGUCCUGAGGGUGUAGCUCAGUGGUAGAGUGAGAUGUUUAGCCUGUGUGAGGCUUGGGGAUCAGUCCCCAGCAUCAUAAGCAAAACAAAACAAGGUUGAACUUGUAAGAUAGGACUCCCUUCAUAGAAUGAGGCAGAGGUUAGCAGCUCUGCUCUUAUGGAAUACUUAAGAUCAUAUUGUAAAUGAAGGGUCCUGAAGACACCCUUAUAAAGUAGGUACUGAUUUUUCAUUUGUUUGUUUUGAGAUACUGGGGAUUGAACCCAGAGACUUUGCCACUGAACCACACCCCUUUUAAUUUUAUUACUUUUAUUUUUUUAUUUAAUUUAUUUAAAAAUAUUUAUUAGAACAUAACAGCUAUAUAAAAUAGUGUGGUUUAUUUUGACAUUUUCAUAAAUGCAUAUAGUACAGUUUGCUUCAUAAAAACAUGGAAUACUUCAGAAUUUGUGUCUCAUCCUUGCACAGAGAACAUGCUACUCUUCUCUAUAUCAUUCCAGGUUUCAGUAUAUGUGCUGUUGAAAUGAGCACCCUUUUCAUUUGCUAUUUUGAGACAGGGUCUCACUAAAUUGCUGAGACUGGCCUUGAGCUCAAAAUCCUUCUCCUUGGCCUUCCUUAUCACUAUGAUUACAGGCAUGUGCUACCAUGCCCAGUUUAUGUAGGUUUUUUUUUUUUAAUUUAAAAAAUUUUAUUUGUGCAAAUGGCAAUUAUUAUGUUUUUUAAAGUGCCUUUUUACUAGAUAAAAAUUAAGCUGUAAAAUACUUAAAUAACUAUACAUCUUAAGCCUACGGGUGGUAGCACCUUCCUAUAAUCCCACUGUUUGGAGGCUUAAAUGGGAAGAUUGUUGAGGCCAGGUGUUUGAGUCAGCCUGUCAACAUAGCUAUAUCAUGACUCAAAAAAGAAGGAGAAAAAAUGAAAGAAAAGAAAAAGAAAUACAUCUCUAAAAAGCAAAUUGGAUUUAUUUCAUAUUUUCAGUUUUACUGCAGUAGCAAUUGAAAUUUUUUCCAAGCAGGAGCUGUUAGGCAAUCUUUUAUUUGUUUGACUCUUGGAUACUAUGGUUAAGAAAAUGAUUUUAUGGGUAACAUGAAAAUGAACUAAUAAAAAAUGAGAUGUAAGGUGUGUUGAGCUUUUGCAGGGAGGUUGUAGAUUGAAUUCAGAGCCUCUUGCAUGCCAGGCGAGCACUACCACUGAGCUACACCCCCAGCCCUUUUAAAUUUUAUUUUGAGAUAGGUUUCCACUGAAUUGCUUAGGUUGGCCUCAAAUUUGUGUUUUUCCUAACUCAGCCUCAUAAAUAACUGGAAUUACAGGCAUAGGCUAGCUACCAUGCUGCCUAUGUUGAGCUUUUAGAAAUGGAUAUUUCCAGUUCCUCCAGAAGAGGGCGGUAGGUGUUUAAAAUGUUUAAAAUUUUUUCCUUCUUUAAUGUUGUUCAUAGAUUGGGAGUCCUCCUCUUGAUCCUACAGAGCAUUUUCUUCCUGAAGAAGAAAAACUUACCGAACAAGAGAGAUCAAAAAGGUUAGUAAAUUUAGAAAUCGCAGAUAUUUCCACAUAAAGUGACUAUUCAAAAAAAGCACAAUGUUUGCUACUUGAGGCAUUUAUCAAGGUUGCAGAGUGUGGAUUCUGAUGUGAAUAAAACUUCCAUUUGCCACUUACAAGUUAUGUGUAACAUAACUUUGAUCUAGUUCAUAUCUGAGACUCAGUUUCCUCAACUGUCAAGUAGAUACAAGAAUCAAACAUAACUCAAAGUGUUGGUGAAAGGAUCAAGAUAAAUAUAUAUGAAAUUUACUAAAUAAACUAUAAGCCAUUAUGAGAAUAUUAAUUUUUUUUUCACAGAUUUGAGAAGGUUUAUACUCAUAAUCUAUAUUACCUGGCUCAAGUCUACCAGCAUAUGGAAAUGUUUGAGAAGGCUGCUCAUUAUUGCCACAGCACACUAAAACGCCAGCUUGAGCAUAAUGCCUACCAUCCUAUGGAGUGGGCUAUUAAUGCUGCUACUUUAUCACAAUUUUAUAUUAAUAAGGUAAGCUUGAUAGUUAUCUAACAGACUAAUAGUGAGCAUAAAUGUAAAACCAAUAGUACACAUCUUUCAAAAACAGUUAGCUUGCAUUUUAUGUAUUUGUGGUACUGGGGAUCAAACCCAGGGCCUUGUACAUGGUAGGCAAGAAUGCUACCCCUGAGCCACAUCCCUAGCCCAGGUAGCUUACAUUUUAUGAUGUAAAAUUGGACAGAAAAAUACAGUCCUCUUUGCUAGUGUAUUAAAAUACUGUAGCUUUUGUUGCAUGAAUUUUUUUGAGUCUUAUAAAAUUAUGAGUUUUAUCAUUGUCUUUCAUGUUGCUAGCCCCCAAAAUAUGAGUUAUCUAAGACCAAUUUUUUAUAUAGGCAUUCUAUUUCAAUUCACUUUAAUGAUAUGUUACCUUAAAUUGCAGAUUUUAUCUUGUUAUAGAUAUAACUUUAUCUUUAUAAAAUGGUAAUCUUAUAACUAUGAGAAUUUGUCUGAGGAAGUUGACUGUUAAAUGUGGGCUUUGAUAAAAGCAUGUGAUACAUUUCGGUUAUUUUUUAGAAUUAACUCCUCUAUAAUAAUAUCUCUGCUGAGUUCCAGAGCUCCACGUUUUCUGACACACCUCUGGACUGUUACCCAGGGACAAAUUUAGACUUCUUAGUUGUUUUUCAGAAUUGCUCACAACCAUGUUGAUGUACUCUUAAUGGACCCUUUUCUUUUUUAGUCCUUAAAUUUCUAAUGCUAAAACACUUUUCCCAACCAGAUUUUUAUUCAUCCUCAAUAAAAUAUUUUAGUAAAAAUUACUUUUAUUUGUAUUUCUGAUUCAUAAGGCUCUCUGAAAUUUGGUAAUUCUCUGCUUAUCAGAGUUCCUUCCGUUCAUUUCUUUGGUUACCUGCUACCUUACCCUGGGGCCUUUAUCCUUUUUAAGAUUUUUGUUAGUGUUGGUUCUGAAAAUGCGCCCUAUGUUUAAAGUAUUGUCCCACAGAAUUUCAUUCAGAAAAACUAUUAGCAGGAGAGAAAGGGCUGUGGUGACUGCAGCAUCGCUUCUAGGACUUUGGUCUAAGAUCAAGUGUGUAAGUAACGCUACUGCAUAUAUAUCAGAGCAUUCAGCUAAACCUAAUUCUCAUGAAUCCAUCUCAUUGUGGACAUCAUCAAAAAGUGCCUCUGCUUGUGAGUCCUUUUGCAUAGCUAUUGAAGGCCCCUUGUUUGUUUUAUUUAGCAACUUUAAAAUUCUCACUAUGAUUUUAAUUAAUACUUAAAACUCCAUACAUAUUGAUAGUUCUAAGAUAUCUGGAUAUGAAUGUAAAGUAUGAUUGAAGAAUUUGAAGUUGCUAAGCAUUACUUACGUGGAGCAUGCAAUGAUUUCCAUGAGCACUUCUUUCACCCCACACUUUUGUUUUUUACCAAAGUGUUCUGUAAGUUUUUGUUACAACCAAGUUAUAUUUUAAAAAGAGGAUUUGAACCAUGUUUUAAAAUGCAGUUGUCAUUUGUGUCAUUGUCAUCUUCACCCAGUUCCAGUGAUGAGUAUUUGCUCUUCGGUGAGUCCCUACCUGGCAGGUGCUAAAGUCCCACAUUUACCAGCCAUCUGGAGGGCACAGGGCAUUCACUGAUCCUGGCAGUGAUUGCUUACAGGGAGCCAAUCUGGACAAAGCCAAAGUGAUAAUGAUGGCUAUAGAGGGGUAGUAGAGGGACAAUUAAAGUUUCUUUACGUAAAGAUUGUAACUUUCUUUUGGCUUUCAAGAUUUGACACCAACAUUUUGAUGUACAGAUGUUGCUGGGCUAAUAUUAUACAUGCUGCCCAACUGUUCCCAAGUUAUCUUCUGAGUUCACCAUAAUGGAGAGAUGAAUUUAAUGCUGAGGUUUUAAAGUCACAGCUAACCAUUAAAUGUCUUUCAUAUUUACAAAUAUGAAGUACAUGCUCUAUUUAAUGAUGGCGGCCUCCAACUAAGAGUUGGACUGUAUUAACUUUGUAUUUCUUCUGGGUGAGCUUGUGACUUACAUGACAAAUGCAGUGUUUACAUUAACAACAAAGUCUUUUUUAAAUGUUUGAGAAGAUUUUCAUGCCCAUAUUUGAAUUAUGAACUCUUUUAAGUGUUAAAGAGUUAUUAGUAAAGCAUUUCUCAACAGUUUAUUUGUCAAAAUCUAUUGACUUUAAAAUUUAAUGGGAAGCUUCAUUGUCUGUAAAUUACAAAGAUUUUAGGAGACAGGAAUCGCUUUCUAUCAGAAUAUCUGCUUUUUCCUUUGGAUUAUAGGAUGUAAAGGGAUCUCUAAAUCUAAUAAAAAUUAAAUCUUUAGUUCUCUGACAGAUGGUCAAUGUUCUAAGAAUUUAUUGUACCUGGAACUUUGGCUUUUUAGACUGAACCAAAAGGUCUUGCUGAGGUAGUUUGAGUCUAGGGUGAUAGCUGUCCCUAUAUAUAUGUACUGGUUAUGCGAGGAGAGCUAGUUUUUAAGCUGCAGUUAUCUUUCAGCCAGUUUGGGUUUUUAUUAAAGAGUUUGGGACAGUGCUACUUUAAUCUCUGAGGUAACUAUUUACUUGAUAAUACUAUAAUAUAUUUUUCAUACUUCUUAACAAUUAUACUGGACCUCCUCAGUGGUGGAUUUUACCUGAUAGUAUAGUUUUUCCCAUGUUAAAAAACUUUUGUAAGUAUCAGUUGCAAAUGAAACUAUACAAUAGUUAUAUUUGUUCUUAUUUAUUUUCCCAACAGCUAUGCUUUAUGGAGGCCAGGCACUGUUUAUCAGCUGCUAAUGUUAUUUUUGGUCAAAUUGGAAAGAUUCCAGCCACAGAAGAUAGUAAGUUUAUGUGUGCAUGUUUUAUUAUAGCUUCUUAAAAAUUAUUAUUUUGAAAUUAUUUUAAACUUUAGAAAAGUUACAAGAACAAAACAACCACCAUGUACUGCCUCUCCUAAAUUCACUAAUUUUAAUAUUAUAGUCCCAUUUUCCUUUUCUCUCUGAAACAUGUGAGGAGAUCACCUGCAUUAAAUUCCU